AUGGCGGCCCCGCCUUCCACCUCCCCCUCGCCGUCCGGGGAGGUCCCCGUCGAGAGAUCGCCCACUGACUUAAGCGGCGGCGACGGCCAGGGGUCGCCCUCCAGGGCCGAAUUGCUCAGCAUGGUGAAGAAGCACUCGCAUCUGAUUGGGUGGACAGUCGUCGAGGCCGAGGACGAUCCGUCGGACGUCGAGAUGGAUGAUAAAUUCUGGCAUGAGAUGCUUGAUCUCUUCUUCGUGCGUGGUAGGGUCUCGAGGAGCAGGGAGGAGGACGACCUCGUCUUCUUUGUCAAUAGCACGAUGCAGAAGAUGGAAGAUCUGCCUCCCUUUUUCGUACGCAGAUGGGCUCCUACGCUUGAAAAGCUCAUAAAUGCUAAUUCAACUGAGGUUGAUUGGGAACGUUCCUUCUAUUUGAAUUUAGUCGCUCACACGUCAUAUACUGUCACAGUGGCAUUGUGCAGUAUCAGCAAUCUUCGCAAUCGUGCAGACAAAAGCAAGCGGUUGCCUCCAAUUUACAAGGUUUCAAAAACUGUAUAUGCAUCCCCUAGCCGUGUAAAUUUCCGCCUUGAUCAAAGAAAGGCUGUAGAGACAGUACCUGCAUAUCCGAACAUUUAUUUCUCAGUUGAUGACUUCGAUGAUCCUUUUGAUGCUGUGGUUUUGUCAGACCCAGAACACUGCUAUUGUGUGAUUCUCAAUGCGCAUGAUGGGGCAGCAUUUCCUGAAGAAAGCGAAUCAAGCAAUGUCGGUUCAAAUAUACAAUCUGGGAUCAACUCUGGGAGCAGUGGAGAGAACCCACCAAAGAGAACUCUCUUCUCAGGCUAUGUCAGCUAUCAAAAUGUCCGGGAAGCUUAUGAUGCUGGCAGAUCCAAAUUCGGGAGCUUCCUCUCACUUGGGCAGGACAAUACUAAACUCGAUAAACUUUUCAUGAGGGGCCCUGAAGGACGUGGGGAAGUUGAAGUUGCUGUUUCUGGGAUUGCAGAUCAGAGUCGUGAGAGACCGAAGAAAGAUGCAGGAGAUAACUUCCGGGUUCUUGUUCGCAAGGCGGCUUCUGCUGCAUCAAAGUUAGCAGAGCAGGCCUUCGAGGCUGCAUCUGCCAACAAACGAUCGGAUGAUAAGCUUCUUCCUCUCAAGUGUUGUUUGAUGUCAGUAUCUCUUCCUUGGGACUUCAUUGCUCACGACUUACUGCACAAGGAAACUCCACCACUGGACUUCUGA
rnacentral:rRNA from 1 species